GGGCGUAGAGGGCUCGCAGGCGGUUUCUUAAGUCUGAUGUGAAAGCCCCCGGCUCAACCGGGGAGGGUCAUUGGAAACUGGGAAACUUGAGUGCAGAAGAGGAGAGUGGAAUUCCACGUGUAGCGGUGAAAUGCGUAGAGAUGUGGAGGAACACCAGUGGCGAAGGCGACUCUCUGGUCUGUAACUGACGCUGAGGAGCGAAAGCGUGGGGAGCGAACAGGAUUAGAUACCCUGGUAGUCCACGCCGUAAACGAUGAGUGCUAAGUGUUAGGGGGUUUCCGCCCCUUAGUGCUGCAGCUAACGCAUUAAGCACUCCGCCUGGGGAGUACGGUCGCAAGACUGAAACUCAAAGGAAUUGACGGGGGCCCGCACAAGCGGUGGAGCAUGUGGUUUAAUUCGAAGCAACGCGAAGAACCUUACCAGGUCUUGACAUCCUCUGACAACCCUAGAGAUAGGGCUUUCCCUUCGGGGACAGAGUGACAGGUGGUGCAUGGUUGUCGUCAGCUCGUGUCGUGAGAUGUUGGGUUAAGUCUCGCAACGAGCGCAACCCUUGAUCUUAGUUGCCAGCAUUCAGUUGGGCACUCUAAGGUGACUGCCGGUGACA
rnacentral:rRNA from 1 species